UACGGAGGGUGCGAGCGUUGUCCGGAAUCAUUGGGCGUAAAGGGCGCGUAGGUGGCCACUUCAAGCGUGCGGUGAAAGUCGGGGGCUCAACCCCUGAUCGGCCGUGCGAACUGGGGGGCUGGAGCACUGUAGAGGCAGGCGGAAUUCCGGGUGUGAGCGGUGGAAUGCGUAGAGAUCCGGAAGAACACCGGUGGCGAAGGCGGCCAACUGGACCAUUACUGACGCUGAGGCGCGAAAGCGUGGGGAGCAAACGGG
rnacentral:rRNA from 1 species